UAGGGAAUCUUCGGCAAUGGACGGAAGUCUGACCGAGCAACGCCGCGUGAGUGAAGAAGGUUUUCGGAUCGUAAAGCUCUGUUGUAAGAGAAGAACGAGUGUGAGAGUGGAAAGUUCACACUGUGACGGUAUCUUACCAGAAAGGGACGGCUAACUACGUGCCAGCAGCCGCGGUAAUACGUAGGUCCCGAGCGUUGUCCGGAUUUAUUGGGCGUAAAGCGAGCGCAGGCGGUUAGAUAAGUCUGAAGUUAAAGGCUGUGGCUUAACCAUAGUACGCUUUGGAAACUGUUUAACUUGAGUGCAAGAGGGGAGAGUGGAAUUCCAUGUGUAGCGGUGAAAUGCGUAGAUAUAUGGAGGAACACCGGUGGCGAAAGCGGCUCUCUGGCUUGUAACUGACGCUGAGGCUCGAAAGCGUGGGGAGCAAACAGGAUUAGAUACCCUGGUAGUCCACGCCGUAAACGAUGAGUGCUAGGUGUUAGACCCUUUCCGGGGUUUAGUGCCGCAGCUAACGCAUUAAGCACUCCGCCUGGGGAGUACGACAGGCAAGGUUG
rnacentral:rRNA from 1 species